GCCGUUGUGGCGCAAUGGUAGCGCAUCACCUUCCUAUGGGCAGUGAGGUGGGGGUUGCGGGUUCGAUACCCGUCAGCGGUA
rnacentral:tRNA from 1 species